CCUACGGGAGGCAGCAGUGAGGAAUAUUGGUCAAUGGGCUUACGCCUGAACCAGCCAAGUCGCGGGAGGGAAGACUGCCCUAUGGGUUGUAAACCUCUUUUGUCAGGGAGCAACGCCGGCUACGUGUAGCCGGACUGAGAGUACCUGAAGAAAAAGCAUCGGCUAACUCCGUGCCAGCAGCCGCGGUAAUACGGAGGAUGCGAGCGUUAUCCGGAUUGAUUGGGUUUAAAGGGUGCGUAGGCGGAAUGCCAAGUCCGCGGUAAAAUCGCGGGGCUCAACCUCGCUCCGCCGUUGAAACUGGCGUUCUUGAGUGGGCGAGAAGUAUGCGGAAUGCGUGGUGUAGCGGUGAACUGCAUAGAUAUCACGCAGAACUCCGAUUGCGACGGCAGCAUACCGGCUCCCAACUGCCGCUGAAGCACGAAAGCGUGUGUCUCGAACCGGAUUCGAUCCUCCUGUAGUC
rnacentral:rRNA from 1 species